GAUGAACGCUGGCGGCGUGCCUAAUACAUGCAAGUCGAGCGAAUGGAUUAAGAGCUUGCUCUUAUGAAGUUAGCGGCGGACGGGUGAGUAACACGUGGGUAACCUGCCCAUAAGACUGGGAUAACUCCGGGAAAACGGGGCUAAUACCGGAUAACAUUUUGAACCGCAUGGUUCGAAAUUGAAGGGCGGCUUCGGCUGUCACUUAUGGAUGGACCCGCGUCGCAUUAGCUAGUUGGUGAGGUAACGGCUCACCAAGGCUACGAUGCGUAGCCGACCUGAGAGGGUGAUCGGCCACACUGGGACUGAGACACGGCCCAGACUCCUACGGGAGGCAGCAGUAGGGAAUCUUCCGCAAUGGACGAAAGUCUGACGGAGCAACGCCGCGUGAGUGAUGAAGGCUUUCGGGUCGUAAAACUCUGUUGUUAGGGAAGAACAAGUGCUAGUUGAAUAAGCUGGCACCUUGACGGUACCUAACCAGAAAGCCACGGCUAACUACGUGCCAGCCGCCGCCGUAA
rnacentral:rRNA from 1 species